GACGAACGCUGGCGGCGUGCCUAAUACAUGCAAGUAGGACGCAGUUGCGAACGGGUGAGGAAAGCGUAGGUAACUACCUAUUAGAGGGGGAUAACUAUUGGCAACGAUAGCUAAUACCGCAUACUAGGAGCUGGCCCUGCGUUGUGUUAGCUAGUAGGUAGGGUAAUGGCCUACCUAGGCAACGAUACAUAGCCGACCUGGGAUGGUUAUCGGCCAAACUGGGACUGAGACACGGCCCAGACUCCUACGGGGGGCAGCAGUAGGGAAUCAUCGGCAAUGGGGGGAACCCUGACCGGGCAACGCCGCGGGAGUGAAGAAGGUUUUCGGAUCUGAAAGCUCUGUUGUUAAGGAAGCGGUACUUAACCAGAAAGGGACGGCUAACUACGUGCCAGCAGCCGCGGUAAUUC
rnacentral:rRNA from 1 species